rnacentral:ncRNA from 1 species
AAACUGAUUUGGCCUCAGGGUUUCUUGCCCAACAGCAAGAAUGAAAAGGGAACGACAGAAGGGUUGUGACACAACCCAUUCUGUGGCUGCCCCCGCAACUGUGAUCGGCGAGUUUGAAGUUCAUCAUGUCACUGGCUUAACGCUGGGAAGACAGACCUCAAACAAGGACCCGAGAGCCAGGAGACCUGCCUUGAGGUGAUUGACCUA